CUAACAAAUGUGUACACGUAUUUUCUUAUCAGUGGUUAUUAUGAGAAAAAAAAAGUUUAUGAUAAGAUAACUCAUUACUGAAAUAUCAAUACGGAUCAUUAUGUGAACAUGCACUGAUAUUGAAAUUAAGUUUCACUUGUUCCUAUAUAGCCACAUGAUCUUCUGUGGAGAAAUAAGUCAUGUUUGUUCUAUUGAACAGUGAUUCCCCC
rnacentral:lncRNA from 1 species